UACAGAGGUCUCAAGCGUUGUUCGGAUUCAUUGGGCGUAAAGGGUGUGUAGGUGGCGCGCUAAGUCGGGUGUGAAAUUUCGGAGCUUAACUCCGAAACUGCAUUCGAUACUGGCGUGCUUGAGGACUGGAGAGGAGACUGGAAUUCCCGGUGUAGCGGUGAAAUGCGUAGAGAUCGGGAGGAACACCAGCGGCGAAGGCGGCAUCCUGGACUGGUCCUGACACUCAUGAGCGAAAGCGUGGGGAGCGAUCCGG
rnacentral:rRNA from 1 species